rnacentral:rRNA from 1 species
AAAUGAUUUAUAUUUAUCCGCCUAGAGAGAAGCUCGCGGCUGAUUAGCUUGUUGGUAAGGUAAGAGCUUACCAAGGCGACGAUCAGUAUCUGGUUUGAGAGGACGAUCAGACACACUGGAACUGAGACACGGUCCAGACUCCUACGGGAGGCAGCAGUGGGGAAUUUUCCGCAAUGGGCGAAAGCNUGACGGAGCAAUACCGCGUGAGGGAAGACUGNCUAUGGGUUGUAAACCUCUUUUUUCAGGGAGGAAUCAAUGACGUGUACCUGAA